AAAAUCAUUGUUUGGUGAACAUAAUCAUUUUAAAACUAAUCAAUUGAAUGUCAUUGUUUGUAUUGGGAUACAGAGUUAUCUGUCUUGAUAUUUGAUAAUUCUUAAAAUCCAUGUAAAAACUAUUUGCUUGCAAACAGACCUAUACAUUGACUGUGAAUAAAAGAAAUAUAUUACCACACACCUGUAGAACUCUUAAAAAGGCACAUUUUGUGAUAUGUUAAAAUCAUGUUUAGGCUUAAGGUGGCAGAAAC
rnacentral:lncRNA from 1 species